rfam:Agrilus planipennis Contig13472, whole genome shotgun sequence.
CUCGUAGUUUAGUGUUCAGAACAUUGGUGCGUAAAACCAAAGGUCCCGGGUUCGAUUCCCGGCGGG